rnacentral:rRNA from 1 species
CGGUCGCAAGACUAAAACUCAAAGGAAUUGACGGGGACCCGCACAAGCGGUGGAGCAUGUGGUUUAAUUCGAUGCUACGCGAAAAACCUUACCACUUUUUGACAUGAAGGUCGUAUCCCUUCUAACAGGGGGAGUCAGUUCGGCUGGACCUUACACAGGUGCUGCAUGGUUGUCGUCAGCUCGUGUCGUGAGAUGUUGGGUUAAGUCCCGCAACGAGCGCAACCCUCAUUCUUAGUUACCAACAG